rnacentral:rRNA from 1 species
AUGAUCAGCACUAGGAAGGACAGGUCCGUUGCAGCGUUCAUCCAGGAGUUAAACCAGCACAUUUGGCGCCAAGAGAACCAGAUGUGCGCAAGCAUGAUAGAUUUGAAGAAGGCGAUGACCAGGAACAUGGAGCUAGAAGAGGAACUCAAGUCUACGCGUGACGGAUACGAGGAGGAAAUCGUAAUACUAUUGGAGAAGAAUGACGACCUGAUAAAGAAGAUCAGAGUAUUCAUGGGAGAUCCCGCGCCAGGAGGAGAUGACGAUCAAUCCAAAGACAUUCGUUCUGAAGACUACAUCAUCAUCGACGACACCGACUCCGACCCCGACAGCAGUGAUGAUGAAUAUGAAGACAAAGCUGGAGCGAAUAUCAUGGAGUCUUCCACUGAUCAAAAUUUCUAG